UACGUAGGGGGCAAGCGUUAUCCGGAUUUACUGGGUGUAAAGGGAGCGUAGACGGCGAUGCAAGUCUGAAGUGAAAGGCGGGGGCCCAACCCCCGGACUGCUUUGGAAACUGUAUGGCUGGAGUGCAGGAGAGGUAAGUGGAAUUCCUAGUGUAGCGGUGAAAUGCGUAGAUAUUAGGAGGAACACCAGUGGCGAAGGCGGCUUACUGGACUGUAACUGACACUGAGGCUCGAAAGCGUGGGGAGCAAACAGG
rnacentral:rRNA from 1 species